UACGUAGCGUGCGAGCGUUGUCCGGAUUUAUUGGGCGUAAAGAGCGUGUAGGCGGCCAUGUAGGUCCGGUGUGAAAACUCGAGGCUUAACCUCGAGAUGUCAUCGGAAACCAUUUGGCUAGAGUCCGGAAGAGGAGAGUGGAAUUCCUGGUGUAGCGGUGAAAUGCGCAGAUAUCAGGAAGAGCACCAAUGGCGAAAGCAGCUCUCUGGGACGGUACUGACGCUGAGACGCGAAAGCGUGGGGAGCGAACAGG
rnacentral:rRNA from 1 species